UUCCUAUUGGAACCUUACACUCGACUAGAGCCGAGUUUGUCAAGAGAUAACCAGUAUAAGAUGGAACAUCCUAGUGCAGGCGACCAUGAUAUUCUUCAUUGGGUGCCUAGUCGUGUGUGCACAGUGUGGUCUCGAUAAUAAGCAAAUGGUGGUCAACCAAGAUGGUCAUGCGGCCAACAAAAGUACCAACAACGCUACCAUCGUCAAUUCGACAUCUGCCGGGGAGAACAAGAUAACGUUGAAAUUUUGCAUUCGAUUUCUUAUAUGUCAUCGCUCAGAUGGGCACAUUGGUACGUGCUACUGCUGCCAGAAUAAUGGUGUCCAGUGUUACACGACGCAGAGUGAGUGCCUGGACAACUGCCCUACAUGCAACCCUAAAUGCCCACCUUCGUUGGGGUCUGAGGGAUAGAAUUCCAUAUGCUUGGAUGAUUUGCUUGUCCGUAAUAAAACGCACCUUAUUUGGUUUGGGCAAUUUGGUCCCCACCAAAAAUUAAA